rnacentral:misc_RNA from 1 species
GAUGAAGAACGCAGCGAAAUGCGAUACUUGGUGUGAAUUGCAGAAUCCCGUGAACCAUCGAGUCUUUGAACGCAAGUUGCGCCCGAAGCCAUUAGGCCGAGGGCACGCCUGCCUGGGCGUCACACGUCGUUGCCCCCCCCAUCUACUCCCUCGGGAUUGCGGGGGGCGGAUGAUGGCCUCCCGUGUGCCUCGCCGCGCGGUUGGCAUAAAUACCAAGUCCUCGGCGACGCACGCCACGACAAUCGGUGGUUGCGAAACCUCGGUUGCCCGUCGUGUGCGGUCGUCGCGCAUCGAGGGCUCGAAAAAAUUGCCGGGUUCCGGCUCGGCUUUCAACGCGACCCCAGGUCAGGCGGGGUUACCCGCUGAAUUUAAGCAUAUCAAUAAGCGGAGGA